rnacentral:lncRNA from 1 species
UUGGAACCUCUGGGGAAGGGAGAAGAGUUGGAGGCUGACCUAAUCACCAAUGAACGUAUCACCUUCUUUCUCCUUCUGCCUGGAAAGAUAAAUUUGUGUCAAAUAUUGACUCUCCUACUGGACCAUGAGCUCCUGGAUAGCAGACUCAUGAAUUAUCACAGUCUUGUGUGCAAGGCAGACUGAACGUUGAGAAGACGUGAAGCGCAACGCCAGCCUCCAGUUACCAUCCUCGACAGCGGCCUUUCCUGAGAAGACGCGUUUCCGUGUUGCAAGGUGCGGAAGCUGCUGCUGUUUGUAGGAGACAGAGGUUGGAAUGAGCUAUCAGCUGAGAGUGAGGCACCGUGCUGUGGGGAGCCAGCA